GGGAGGGGCGGCAUGCUUACCAUGCAAGUCGAACGGGGAUGCCAUUUUCGAGGCGGUUAGUUUACUAAGCGCCAAGAUGCUGGCAUCUUAGUGGCGGACGGGUGAGUAACGCGUGGGUAACCUGCCUUAUACAGGGGGAUAACACUUAGAAAUAGGUGCUAAUACCGCAUAAGCGCACGGGGCUGCAUGGCCCAGUGUGAAAAACUCCGGUGGUAUAAGAUGGACCCGCGUCUGAUUAGCUUGUUGGCGGGGUAACGGCCCACCAAGGCGACGAUCAGUAGCCGGCCUGAGAGGGUGGACGGCCACAUUGGGACUGAGACACGGCCCAAACUCCUACGGGAGGCAGCAGUGGGGAAUAUUGGACAAUGGGGGGAACCCUGAUCCAGCGACGCCGCGUGAGUGAAGAAGUAUUUCGGUAUGUAAAGCUCUAUCAGUAGGGAAGAAAGAAAUGACGGUACCUGACUAAGAAGCCCCGGCUAACUACGUGCCAGCAGCCGCGGUAAUACGUAGGGGGCAAGCGUUAUCCGGAUUUACUGGGUGUAAAGGGAGCGUAGACGGUUAUGCAAGUCUGGAGUGAAAGGCGGGGCCCAACCCCCGGACUGCUUUGGAAACUGUGUAACUGGAGUGCAGGAGAGGUAAGUGGAAUUCCUAGUGUAGCGGUGAAAUGCGUAGAUAUUAGGAGGAACACCAGUGGCGAAGG
rnacentral:rRNA from 1 species